GAUGAACGCUGGCGGCGUGCCUAAUACAUGCAAGUCGAGCGAACAGACGAGGAGCUUGCUCCUCUGACGUUAGCGGCGGACGGGUGAGUAACACGUGGAUAACCUACCUAUAAGACUGGGAUAACUUCGGGAAACCGGAGCUAAUACCGGAUAAUAUAUUGAACCGCAUGGUCCAAUAGUGAAAGACGGUUUUGCUGUCACUUAUAGAUGGAUCCGCGCCGCAUUAGCUAGUUGGUAAGGUAACGGCUUACCAAGGCAACGAUGCGUAGCCGACCUGAGAGGGGGGUCUCCCCCACUCGGAAAUCGGAACGGGGCCGACUCCCCCGGGGGGGGCAAGUGGGGGAAAUUUCCCGAAGGGGGCAAAACCCAGGGAGAACAGCCGCGUGUGGGUUGAAGGGUUUUUGGUAUCAAAAACCUGUUUUUAGGGGAGAAAAAAAGUGUAAAAAAAACUGUGCACGUCUAGGCGGUCCCAAAAGAAAACCCCCGGGCAACCUCCG
rnacentral:rRNA from 1 species